UACGGAGGGAGCUAGCGUUGUUCGGAAUUACUGGGCGUAAAGCGCGCGUAGGCGGCUUUGUAAGUUGGAGGUGAAAGCCCGGGGCUCAACCCCGGAACUGGCCUUUAAAACUGCAUCGCUUGAAUCCGGGAGAGGUGAGUGGAACUGCGAGUGUAGAGGUGAAAUUCGUAGAUAUUCGCAAGAACACCAGUGGCGAAGGCGGCUCACUGGCCCGGUACUGACGCUGAGGUGCGAAAGCGUGGGGAGCAAACAGG
rnacentral:rRNA from 1 species